AGCGAACGCUGGCGGCAGGCCUAACACAUGCAAGUCGAACGAACCUUUCGGGGUUAGUGGCGGAUGGGUGAGUAACCCGUGGGGACGUGCCUUUAGGUUCGGAAUAACUCAGGGAAACUUGUGCUAAUACCGAAUGUGCCCUUCGGGGGAAAGAUUUAUCGCCUUUAGAGCGGCCCGCGUCUGAUUAGCUAGUUGGUUGAGGUAAUGGCUCACCAAGGCGACGAUCAGUAGCUGGUCUGAGAGGAUGAUCAGCCACAUUGGGACUGAGACACGGCCCAAACUCCUACGGGAGGCAGCAGUGGGGAAUCUUGCGCAAUGGGCGAAAGCCUGACGCAGCCAUGCCGCGUGAAUGAUGAAGGUCUUAGGAUUGUAAAAUUCUUUCACCGGGGACGAUAAUGACGGUACCCGGAGAAGAAGCCCCGGCUAACUUCGUG
rnacentral:rRNA from 1 species